GUUGAGGUUAGGAUUGCCCUACCCCUCGCCCAUUUAUCAGACUCUGCUCGAAGGACGAGUGAACAAAUUUGAAGAAGCUGAUUAACUGGAACUAGCAGGCUAUUCCCAAGGCUAACCAUGCCUAGAACUCAUUCUGAUAUCAUUCCUCUCAGCUAUUUAGCGAAUCCUGAUGUCUGGGACAAAGAGCCUCCUGACGAGCCUGACAACACAAGUCCCUCUAAUUGACCUGAGCUAUGGAAAUGGAUAAAGAUAACAGAUAAAGCAUCUUGUUUAAAGACUUUGCUCAAGCUGCUUGCUUUGCAUAUCGGCAUUAUUUUUUGUUAAUCAUACUUUACCAGGCUGGACUGCGACCGUGGAACUUAACUCACGUUAAAGUUGCUCAUGGUUCUUCGAAGUAUUCCAACCUCAGCUGCUCAAACACAACCUCUUUGAAUGUCUUUUUGCCUUGGACAGAAUGCGCUCCCAUGCAAAGCCAAUCUGCGUUUUUCUGUGGAAACCAAAAAAUCAAUUACACCGGGCUGAAGAAGAUUCUGGAGAAAAGCCUAGCAUGGAUUAACGACUCCACUACCCAAGAACUUGUGAACCGCACCUUGUCUAUCUCAAACCUUGAACUCACUGACGAAGGAGUAAUAAUAUGGGUGAGAAUCUUGCACUGACACAUUAGGCGUUCUAUUCGCUGCACUUGGAUACAUCUCGACUGUGAGGUAGCUGAGUGGCACUGCGAUAGGGCCUGUCGAACCAUUGGGAACCUGAAGUCAUCUACAAGACUCCUUCAAGAGCUUUGAGUUUCCCAGCCUGGUUCCCCCACUGGGAAUUUGGGGGAAAAUAUCAGUUCAUUUGUGACGAGAAUGUAUCUGCUAAACUUGGCACAGCAUGACAAAAGGGCUGACAGAUAUAGAGAAGAACAAUUUUAAAGAAUUAUUAUUAUAUAAAUACCUUACAAAUUACAACAGCAGUGUAUUUGAUUACACCUUAAAACCUAGAGUUUGUGUGCAUGGGAUACUCUUUAAAUUUAAAAAUCUAUAUUUCUUAGUUCAAAUGUAGAUUUUCUUAUAAAAGAAAAUAGAAUGGAAGAAUGGAAAUAUGUAUUUAUACUUUUUCACUGUCUCACUGUUUUUCACUCAGAUUAGUAAUGAUUUUAUCAAACACUUCACUGAAAGAUUAUCUGUGAUGAAAAGAUUGGACAUUUGUUGACAAAGAGGGAAUUUCCUGAGUGAUACUUACUAAUGGAGCUUCCUCUCUCCCAGGCCUGACUGGACACAUGGGGAGAGUCAUACCACAACUGUGGUGGGGUUUGCAGGCUCCCAUGAGAGCCUAAAUCCCAGGGAAAAAAUAUUAAAACGUUGUUAUGAAGUGCAUGUGUCUUUGUGUGUGCAUGUUUAUUAUUUUGUGUCAGAGCAGCACAGGAUGCAGAGUGUGUGAACCAGGGUUUGUCCCAGUAAAUCAACUGGUGUCCAGGAAGAGAGGAAACGUAACGAGAACAAGAGGAUAUUUGAGUGGGCAGUGUUUUGUCAUUUCUCAGUGCAACUGUGUUUUUCCGUGUGCCUGUGUUGGUUUUAAGGGUAAAUGAAGGAGGUGUAUGUGGUGCACACUUUUCCUCUCAUAUCCACAGGCAAUUCCACAUACCCCCUGUACAAACAAACAUAAGCAGGUGCCUGUAUUCAUUCUGCCAUGUUGAGGGUAGCAGAGCAGGCUGUAAGCUUUUUAAAAUGUGUCACCACUGGUGUAAUGCCUGUACACUCCAGUUUAAAGCAGAAACAGGAAAUAGUUACAGUAACAAACGUAACAUCCUUACACAUGCACAAAUACCCUACUUGAUGAAGGUCUUUGGCUUCCUUUUGCUAGUGCACUCAAAUGUGCACACUGCUAAAUGUGUAUCUAAAACUAAUUAUUUUUAUCAUGCGAUAAUACUUUUUAGUACACGAGUGCGUAUGUGCUGCUCAUGUUGUCUUCUGUCUGGCCUUCUCUUGUUGCCCCAGCUGUCCUAACACUGGUUUGUGUUGACAGUAAACACAGCUGCAGGUCACAGAGGCCCUGCUCUGGUCAGAGACAGUGCUCGGAAACCCAAUGGGGGAGAGAGCACACAGAGAGCAUGAAGGCAAGAGAAGGUACACCAGGACUGAAAGACUUUGGUUACCAUCACCAUGGCCAUGGUCAGUGCCUUCUAACUGGUCACCCAGAGCCCUGACCCACCGCGUAUGAAAGCGGCAGGUUGCGGAGUUCAAGUCCUUCGAAAUGUGAAUCGAAACAGCUGCCUCUAAUCACUAGCACAAGCUGGGCUUAAGGGCUUCUCAGUUUCACCCCUCAUCUGCCUGGAAUUUUGAAUUUCCUGAGGGGAGAUCAAAUGGCAGCCCGAGUCAGUGAGACCUUUGAUAAGGGGACACCCAUCUCGCGAGGGCCUUCUGCAUUGGGAUUUACGCUUGACAACACACUUGGUGUCACCUCCUAUCCCUGUGGACACUCCGCAACCCCUGAAAACAUUGAACUUCUUUGACGGCACAGCAGAGCCCACCCUCUACCAAACACCCACUACAUCCUCCCCAUCAAAUGCCCAGCAGCUUUUUAUUAAAUUUGUUGUGCCCACCCUUGUAUGGUUUCAGUAGACCACUUAGUUUUGGAUUGCAUCCUGGAUUUCUCAAUUAUAUGGUUCAUUUCACCUGCUUGUGUUCCUUUACCCCCCUGUAUCAAGGGCGAAGGAAACACAUUUAAUUAUUUCAAAACAAGAAGUCUGAAGCAGGGCCCCACAGAUCUAUAACAUCAUGCUUUCCUAUCUAUUGCCCACAUCACCGCUACUUUAACUAAGCAGCAUUUAGACUGUUAGAAAAAGAAACUCUGUCCGCUGUCUCAGAACACCUCAUUACUAGUGUCAAUAAGAAAAUUUGUCUACCUAACAGGAGGCUAAAUAUAAGGGCAGAAUGUGGGAUUUCCAGAAUUCCUUGCUUGUUGAGUCUCAUAUGGAGCACAUUAGUACCCUGUUUGAUUGACAGCUGCUCCUGUGUAUAGCCAAAAAGAGAAGCAUUGAGAUAUAGGGGAUUAUUAUAUCCAAGGUAAUGUGUAUGAGCUGACCACAGCAGGCGUGAAGAUGCUAUCAGCAGUGGCUGUGUGUUAAAGGGCCUGCUUGACUAAACAAAGUCUUUAUAUCUAUUUACGUGAGUGUUUAUAUAAUAUGUCUUUGUUUAUAAGAAAGAAGUUGGACAACUUUUAAUCUGUCAAUUAGACAUUUUAUUUCCUUGGACUCAACAUCCAAAUAGGAAGAAAAAUAUUAACACUGCAAUAACGUGUCAUGUCACUUCUUUAAUGCAUUAAAUUCCCUAUUAAAGGUUUUCCUUUCAAUGUUA